rfam:Asian citrus Psyllid, Diaphorina citri - Florida Strain, whole genome shotgun sequence.
UUCUUUUUUUAUAUCACGUUGAAAACACCAGUUCUCAUCCGAUCACUCAAGUUAAGCACCGUCAAGCGCGGAUAGUACUUGGAUGGGUGGUAAGCAUCACCCAUACAGCCCAAAAUAUUGGAU